ACACCGAUGGUGAAGCGGUUAUCAUGCUUGCCUUCCAUUAAUAUCAGCAAGCGGCAGGGGUUCGACUCCCCUUCGGUGUA